UGGGGAAUAUUGCACAAUGGAGGGAACUCUGAUGCAGCGACGCCGCGUGAACGAAGAAGGCUUUCGAGUCGUAAAGUUCUUUUAUAUGGGAAGAUAAUGACGGUACCAUAAGAAUAAGCCCCGGCUAACUACGUGCCAGCAGCCGCGGUAAUACGUAGGGGGCUAGCGUUGUCCGGAAUCACUGGGCGUAAAGGGUUCGCAGGCGGAAAUGCAAGUCAGGUGUAAAAGGCAGUAGCUUAACUACUGUAAGCAUUUGAAACUGCAUAUCUUGAGAAGAGUAGAGGUAAGUGGAAUUUUUAGUGUAGCGGUGAAAUGCGUAGAUAUUAAAAAGAAUACCGGUGGCGAAGGCGACUUACUGGGCUCAUUCUGACGCUGAGGAACGAAAGCGUGGGUAGCAAACAGG
rnacentral:rRNA from 1 species